GUGGAACAGCCAAUCAGCAUCCUUGUCCAUCCGGGACCUAUGGAAACUUAUCAGGAUUGGCUGACAAAUCGGAAUGCUCUUUGUGUGAACCGGGGAUGUACUGUAAAGGAACAGGGAGAAUUUACCCCAGUGGUCCAUGCAGUGCAGGGUUUGUGUGUUUUGGGGCCGCCUCUCAACCCUCCCCCUCAGACAACAUCACAGGCGCUCCAUGUCCUCCUGGAUUCCACUGUCCUGUUGGAAGCUCCGUACCAUCGCCCUGCCCUAAAGGCACAUUCAGUGAGCAAAGUGGACUAACGGAGCCCUCCCAGUGUCGUA